AUAACAUUAAAACACAGGUCCCCGUAGGAUCGCCGAAGUUAAGCAACGUCGAGGCUUAUCAGUACAUUGAUGGGUGAUCGUUUUGGAAUAUCAGGUGCUGUAAG